UCCCUGGUGGCUCAGAUGGUAAAGAAUAUGCCUGAAACGCAGGAGACCCAGGUUCAAUCCCUGGGUCGGGGAA
rnacentral:tRNA from 1 species